rnacentral:rRNA from 1 species
UUGGUCCUACGGGACGCAGCAGUGAGGAAUAUUGGUCAAUGGGCGGAAGCCUGAACCAGCCACGUCGCGUGAGGGAAGAAGGCCCUGCGGGUCGCAGACCUCUUUGGACGGGGAGCAAGGCCGCCGACGUGUCGGCGGAAGGAGAGUACCCGUAGAACAAGCAUCGGCUAACUCCGUGCCAGCAGCCGCGGUAAUACGGAGGAUGCGAGCGUUAUCCGGAUUUAUUGGGUUUAAAGGGUGCGCAGGCGGCACGGCAAGCCGGCGGUCAAAUCGGGGGGCUCAACCCCGCCCAGCCUCCGGAACUG